AUAGGUUGUGUAAAUGGCGUGAAAUAGUAGCGAGCUGGGCGGUUGUUUCGAAGCGUACGGGAACUAUACGUCGCGAGCCUAUACAUCUAGAAUGGUUGUGAAUCCUUACUCGGCCUUACUCUAGGCGUCCAGCAAGUUGGCCCGAUUCGCCUCGAGUGCGAUGCGAAUUCCAACGGAGCCUGCGUUUUGGCACUCAUUCCCCACUCAAAGCUUGCUAAUCGAUUUCCGUUUAGCGCGCGCCCCGGCGAUCGGUCGAUCGGUCGAUCGAUCGGUCGAUCGGCCAGCGCGUCUUUCGAAUGAAAUUCUCGUCGGACGGUGUGAACGAAAUCUUCUCUCUUGCGCCUUUCUGCGGUCACGUGGAACUUUUGCUCAAAGACGCUCGACUCACGGAACGAUAUAUGUAUAUAGUUGGUUAAAAAUCCAAUCGAUCGAUGCGAAACCUUUGAUGAAAAUACUUUUCGAAUGAGACACUGAUCGACAAACUAUUAUAUAAAUUCUAUUUUUCUUUCUUUUUGGAAAUAUGUUAUAUUAAAAAUUUAUAGUGAAAAGUUUCCUAAUUUACAUUUACUCUAUUCGUAGUGUAGUAA